rnacentral:rRNA from 2 species
UACAGAGGUCCCAAGCGUUACUGAGAAUCACUGGGUUUAAAGGGUGCGUAGGUGGUCCGUUAAGUCAGUUGUGAAAUCCCCGGGCUCAACCCGGGAAAUGCUUCUGAUACUGGCGGACUUGAGGCCAGUAGGGGUCACUAGAACUGACGGUGGAGCGGUGAAAUGCGUAGAUAUCGUCAGGAAUGCCGGUGGUGAAGACGGGUGACUGGGCUGGUUCUGACACUGAGGCACGAAAGCGUGGGGAGCGAACGGG